UCAGAUUCAUGGAUUGUCCAGGAAUAUUGGCGUCCACGAGUAAUAUAUGUGAUAGUUAGCAGUGUCAAAAAUCUGAUCUGCAUUGAUUAUGCGUCAAAUAAGUCUUCUUUUGAAAGACCUCUCGGGUAUUUUGUUAGAGUAUUAGUGGAUUUGGACCAUACCAAAGAGUUCUGUUACAAGAUUUUAGUUGAAAGAGUUGGAUUCUCUUUCUUUGUAGACAUCGAAUAUGAAAAGGUCCCAGAUUUUUGCUCCUUAUGCUCUUGCAUAAGGCAUUAUUUAUCUAAUUGUAAAAGAAAAGAAAACCUUCUGGCGAAAGAGAAGGAUGCGAUACAGAAACAUUACAAACCUGAUAAGCCAUUUCAUGCUCCUGUGGGAAAGAAAAAAACCCAAAAGCAAUUCCUCAAAAUGGUAGAACAUACGAAAUCUUGGAGAACAACUUAA